CCGUACACAAAAGCGCAUGUGCUGUGAGCUCGAUGAGUAGGGCGGGACACGUGGUAUCCUGUCUGAAUAUGGGGGGACCAUCCUCCAAGGCUAAAUACUCCUGACUGACCGAUAGUGAACCAGUACCGUGAGGGAAAGGCGAAAAGAACCCCGGCGAGGGGAGUGAAAAAGAACCUGAAACCGUGUACGUACAAGCAGUGGGAGCACCCUUCGGGGUGUGACUGCGUACCUUUUGUAUAAUGGGUCAGCGACUUAUAUUCUGUAGCAAGGUUAACCGUAUAGGGGAGCCGUAGGGAAACCGAGUCUUAACCGGGCGUUAAGUUGCAGGGUAUAGACCCGAAACCCGGUGAUCUAGCCAUGGGCAGGUUGAAGGUUGGGUAACACUAACUGGAGGACCGAACCGACUAAUGUUGAAAAAUUAGCGGAUGACCUGUGGCUGGGGGUGAAAGGCCAAUCAAACCGGGAGAUAGCUGGUUCUCCCCGAAAGCUAUUUAGGUAGCGCCUCGUGAAUUCAUCUCCGGGGGUAGAGCACUGUUUCGGCUAGGGGGCCAUCCCGGCUUACCAACCCGAUGCAAACUGCGAAUACCGGAGAAUGUUAUCACGGGAGACACACGGCGGGUGCUAACGUCCGUCGUGAAGAGGGAAACAACCCAGACCGCCAGCUAAGGUCCCAAAGUCAUGGUUAAGUGGGAAACGAUGUGGGAAGGCCCAGACAGCCAGGAUGUUGGCUUAGAAGCAGCCAUCAUUUAAAGAAAGCGUAAUAGCUCACUGGUCGAGUCGGCCUGCGCGGAAGAUGUAACGGGGCUAAACCAUGCACCGAAGCUGCGGCAGCGAACGUAUCACCCAAGACAACUUUACGGAGUUGACGAUUGACGGAGCGAAGCGACGUCAAAGCGUUCAUUAAAGUCGAGUUGGCUUAGGGAUACGUUCGUUGGGUAGGGGAGCGUUCUGUAAGCCUGUGAAGGUGUGUCGUGAGGCAUGCUGGAGGUAUCAGAAGUGCGAAUGCUGACAUAAGUAACGAUAAAGCGGGUGAAAAGCCCGCUCGCCGGAAGACCAAGGGUUCCUGUCCAACGUUAAUCGGGGCAGGGUGAGUCGACCCCUAAGGCGAGGCCGAAAGGCGUAGUCGAUGGGAAACGGGUUAAUAUUCCCGUACUUGGUGUUACUGCGAAGGGGGGACGGAGAAGGCUAUGUUGGCCGGGCGACGGUUGUCCCGGUUUAAGCGUGUAGGUGUGUGUUCCAGGUAAAUCCGGUUCACUUUAACACUGAGGCGUGACGACGAGGCACUACGGUGCUGAAGCAACAAAUGCCCUGCUUCCAGGAAAAGCCUCUAAGCAUCAGGUAACACGAAAUCGUACCCCAAACCGACACAGGUGGUCAGGUAGAGAAUACCAAGGCGCUUGAGAGAACUCGGGUGAAGGAACUAGGCAAAAUGGUGCCGUAACUUCGGGAGAAGGCACGCUGACACGUAGGUGAAGUGAUUUACUCAUGGAGCUGAAGUCAGUCGAAGAUACCAGCUGGCUGCAACUGUUUAUUAAAAACACAGCACUGUGCAAACACGAAAGUGGACGUAUACGGUGUGACGCCUGCCCGGUGCCGGAAGGUUAAUUGAUGGGGUCAGCGCAAGCGAAGCUCCUGAUCGAAGCCCCGGUAAACGGCGGCCGUAACUAUAACGGUCCUAAGGUAGCGAAAUUCCUUGUCGGGUAAGUUCCGACCUGCACGAAUGGCGUAAUGAUGGCCAGGCUGUCUCCACCCGAGACUCAGUGAAAUUGAACUCGCUGUGAAGAUGCAGUGUACCCGCGGCAAGACGGAAAGACCCCGUGAACCUUUACUAUAGCUUGACACUGAACAUUGAGCCUUGAUGUGUAGGAUAGGUGGGAGGCUUUGAAGUGUGGACGCCAGUCUGCAUGGAGCCGACCUUGAAAUACCACCCUUUAAUGUUUGAUGUUCUAACGUGGACCCGUAAUCCGGGUUGCGGACAGUGUCUGGUGGGUAGUUUGACUGGGGCGGUCUCCUCCUAAAGAGUAACGGAGGAGCACGAAGGUUGGCUAAUCCUGGUCGGACAUCAGGAGGUUAGUGCAAUGGCAUAAGCCAGCUUGACUGCGAGCGUGACGGCGCGAGCAGGUGCGAAAGCAGGUCAUAGUGAUCCGGUGGUUCUGAAUGGAAGGGCCAUCGCUCAACGGAUAAAAGGUACUCCGGGGAUAACAGGCUGAUACCGCCCAAGAGUUCAUAUCGACGGCGGUGUUUGGCACCUCGAUGUCGGCUCAUCACAUCCUGGGGCUGAAGUAGGUCCCAAGGGUAUGGCUGUUCGCCAUUUAAAGUGGUACGCGAGCUGGGUUUAGAACGUCGUGAGACAGUUCGGUCCCUAUCUGCCGUGGGCGCUGGAGAACUGAGGGGGGCUGCUCCUAGUACGAGAGGACCGGAGUGGACGCAUCACUGGUGUUCGGGUUGUCAUGCCAAUGGCACUGCCCGGUAGCUAAAUGCGGAAGAGAUAAGUGCUGAAAGCAUCUAAGCACGAAACUUGCCCCGAGAUGAGUUCUCCCUGAGACUUAGAGUCUCCUGAAGGAACGUUGAAGACGACGACGUUGAUAGG
rnacentral:rRNA from 1 species